UGAAAAGGUGAGCGUAUCCUGCUCCACCGGUGGCACCCGUCAUAAACAUAUACAAAGUCUAUUUACGUUAAGUGUUCACCUGAAAUAUACUUUUCACCCUUUCUAAGGAUCAAACCACUGAUUCAACAGAAAACUAUGAUGUGGGGUCUAAUUUGGUUUAAAUAUCUGCGCUUAUUGUAAGCAUGGAUCCUAAGGUUUCAGUAUGUAACUGCAUCUUGUCGAUCCCAUACCUGCUAUUGACAGGUGUUGUGUACUUGUCAAUGACCCGUGCCAUGAUUUGCAAAAUGGUUGAUUGGUGCUAUGAAAACCAUUUUAUGGUUACUCAUGUAUCAAGUGCACAAGGUUAGAAUAAAGUGGCUGUUUGCCUAAAGAAGGGAUACCAUAUUAUUUAUCCAGCUUUAAAUGGAAACAAUUUCAAAUUAUACAUCUUCAUUUAAGUCAAGUUUGGAAUUUU